rnacentral:miRNA from 1 species
UACUUUGCUCGGAUGGUCAAGG